rnacentral:rRNA from 1 species
AGUGAACGCUGGCGGUAGGCCUAACACAUGCAAGUCGAACGGCAGCACAGGAGAGCUUGCUCUCUGGGUGGCGAGUGGCGGACGGGUGAGGAAUACAUCGGAAUCUACUCUGUCGUGGGGGAUAACGUAGGGAAACUUACGCUAAUACCGCAUACGACCUACGGGUGAAAGCAGGGGACCUUCGGGCCGUGCGCGAUCUAAUGAGCCGAAGUCGGAUUAGCUCGUUGGCGGGGUAAAGGCCGACCAAGGCGACGAUCCGUAGCUGGUCUGAGAGGGUGAUCAGCCACACUGGAACUGAGACACGGUCCAGACUCCUACGGGAGGCAGCAGUGGGGAAUAUUGGACAAUGGGCGCAAGCCUGAUCCAGCCAUACCGCGUGGGUGAAGAAGGCCUUCGGGUUGUAAAGCCCUUUUGUUGGGAAAGAAAUCCAGCUGGCUAAUACCCGGUUGGGAUGACGGUACCCAAAGAAUAAGCACCGGCUAACUUCGUGCCAGCCGCCGCGGUAA